rnacentral:hammerhead_ribozyme from 1 species
GUACUGCUGAAGAGUCCCAAACUAGGACGAAACUGCUGGCUGUCCAGUAC